rnacentral:rRNA from 1 species
CUGGCGGCGUGCCUAAUACAUGCAAGUCGAACGCACUCUCGUUAGAUUGAAGGAGCUUGCUCCUGAUUGAUAAACAUUUGAGUGAGUGGCGGACGGGUGAGUAACACGUGGGUAACCUGCCCUAAAGUGGGGGAUAACAUUUGGAAACAGAUGCUAAUACCGCAUAAAACCUAACACCGCAUGGUGUAGGGUUGAAAGAUGGUUUCGGCUAUCACUUUAGGAUGGACCCGCGGUGCAUUAGUUAGUUGGUGAGGUAAAGGCUCACCAAGACCGUGAUGCAUAGCCGACCUGAGAGGGUAAUCGGCCACACUGGGACUGAGACACGGCCCAGACUCCUACGGGAGGCAGCAGUAGGGAAUCUUCCACAAUGGACGAAAGUCUGAUGGAGCAACGCCGCGUGAGUGAAGAAGGUUUUCGGAUCGUAAAACUCUGUUGUUGGAGAAGAAUGUAUCUGAUAGUAACUGAUCAGGUAGUGACGGUAUCCAACCAGAAAGCCACGGCUAACUACGUG